AACGCUGGCGGCGUGCCUAACACAUGCAAGUCGAGCGAGAAAGUUCCGGCAACGGGAUGAGUAAAGCGGCGAACGGGUGAGUAACGCGUGGGUAAUCUGCCCUUCAGCGCGGAAUAACCUGCCGAAAGGUGGGCUAAUACCGGAUGAUGUCCCCGUGGGUAUCCUGUGGGGACCAAAGGGGGGCGAGCGUAAGCAGCCCUCACUGAAGGAGGAGCCUGCGUCCGAGUAGCUAGUUGGUGGGGUAAAAGCCCACCAAGGCGACGAUCCGUAGCUGGUCUGAGAGGACGAUCAGCCACACUGGGACUGAGACACGGCCCAGACUCCUACGGGAGGCAGCAGUGGGGAAUCUUGCGCAAUGGGCGAAAGCCUGACGCAGCGACGCCGCGUGAGGGAAGAAGGCCUUCGGGUUGUAAACCUCUUUCAGGAGGGACGAAGCCACUCGGGUUAAUAGCCCAGAGGGUGACGGUACCUCCAGAAGAAGCCCCGGCUAACUACGUGCCAGCAGCCGCCGCGGUAA
rnacentral:rRNA from 1 species